rnacentral:tRNA from 1 species
GAACAGGUGUGCUCAGUUGGUUAGAGCAUGGUGCUGAUAACACCAAGGUCGGGAGUUAGAUUCCCGUUUGGUCC